rnacentral:lncRNA from 1 species
GAUUAUUUCAAGACGAUUCAUUUCAGAAGGUAGAUAGACAUGAUCCGACGAUGCUCCGGAUCAGACGGUUGUGUGUCGGACUGUCAUGUCCUAAUCGAAAAUUACUGCAGAGGCAAUCAUGGCGGCGGGCACUUGGGGUUGCAGGUGACGCAGUUGGCCUGGCACUCUUUCCGUGAGUAGUAGCAGUAAUUUCCAGUCUCGCAACAAUAGCAGUCUCGAUUGCCACACGACCUUAUGGCACACAAUAUCACCUUGAACUUGCUCCCAUCUAGUGCCGUGGAGUUGACGGCCGCGUCCGUAGCGUUAGCGCUUGGGUACCUCCUCAAUAUUGGAAUUCCGAUCUCAUCAAGUAGCCCUCGACGACCUGCAAAUCGAUCAAAUUCAUAGAUAGACAUGGCAUAAAUUAAUGACAUGCAGAGACAAGCAAAGGUUGUAAUCGACACACUUACAUUGUGCAGGUGAAGCAAAUAGCACGACGAACAAGAACACGGCCACUGCCAGGCUGAUGAUGAAGGUCCUGGCCGCCAUAUUGAAUCCGAUCGAUCGAUCGUUUAGAUAGUGAUCGGAGCGACGUAUUACUAGAAUGUUUGUAUGUAUGGUAG